UAUGUGCUGUGCUUUGAAGAACAGAACACAUUCUAAAUUGCUUGAGAUUUUGGAAAUCACUGUCUUUUGCUUCUUUGCCCUAGAUGUCACUAUGACAGUACAGAUUUUUAUGCUUGAAGAAAACAUUUCUUUGAGAAGAAAUGCAGAAGGUGACAACCAUGCUGUUUAUUUACAACAGCAAAUGCAAGGAUGUAUUAUGGUUGGGUGGAACAAAGACACGUCCAUUUUUAAUCAAUAAGAGAGCCCACCAAACUUUUGGAACCUCAAAGAAUCAUCCAAAAGCUGCCCACUCCUGAUUUGCCCAGAUGAUCUGGGGCAGAGGAUAUUAACAAAUGAAUAUUUAGUGAGCCGAAAACAAACUCACAUGAAAAAUUAAGGAUGAAAUUAGUGAAAAGCGCAGAGAUAGAAACUAUUUGAUUGGGCUUCAGAA
rnacentral:lncRNA from 1 species